rnacentral:lncRNA from 1 species
UCAGACCACCAAUUACUCCCUCCAAUUUAGAACGUAAAAGUAGCCCUACUCUGACACAAAAUAGUGCUUUUGAUGUCCUUGUUUACUUAAACUAACCAACAAAUUUGCAGAACUUAAACUAACCAACAAAUUUGCAGAAAUGAAACUUUUGGUGAAAGAGAAAUAUAUCUAGAUCAUUUUGAGCCAAAAUUUACUUGUCUAUGAGUUUGCAUUAAAAAUUGAGGAUUAAUGCG